rnacentral:lncRNA from 1 species
CGAUCGACAUGGAUGAUCGAACAUCAUUUUCAUUAUUAAAGAUGAUAAUAAUUGGUUUCUUGCUAUACGGGGGAGGCGAUUCGGAUUCGGUAAGGCUACUACCGUAGCUGGGACCCGAAAACCAAAUCCAUUGCCAUGUAUUCUUCACCAGUACAUUUUUGAUAGGGGAGAUGUUGGGGAAAGAUUCGCUAUAUGUGGCUAAAACGGCAUUGAAGCAACUAAGUCAGUACCUGCUUUUGCAAGCAACCCGGUCAUCCAUCUCUGUCCAAAGGACGCUACAGUAAUCCUGAAACCAUGUCAAGCAGCUAACAGAGCCUACCACUGUUGGUGGUCGGUGGUAGGUGGCAGAGGCUGCUCGGCCAUCCUUGUUUACUGUGGGACACUCAAAUUGUAAUAAUAAUAAUAAUAAGAUCAUAAGAUCUCAAUUAUUUUAG